UUGUGACAGUUUCUCUCAAUGAGUUCAGACUGACUGCAAUGCAAUGCAAAGGGUGUUAUCGAGCUCCCCGCUCGCCGGGAGUGUCUCCCGGCGGAGGCAACAGGUGGGUACGCAGUGUGUGUCGAUAUGAAGAGUUCACCGAGACGGCGAGCCGCAAUAUCGUUUAAUGAUCCUUCCGCAGGUUCACCUACGGAAA
rnacentral:misc_RNA from 1 species